CCUACGGGAGGCAGCAGUGGGGAAUAUUGCACAAUGGGGGAAACCCUGAUGCAGCGACGCCGCGUGAGUGAAGAAGUAUUUCGGUAUGUAAAGCUCUAUCAGCAGGGAAGAAAAUGACGGUACCUGUUUAAGAAGCCCCGGCUAACUACGUGCCAGCAGCCGCGGUAAUACGUAGGGGGCAAGCGUUAUCCGGAUUUACUGGGUGUAAAGGGAGCGUAGACGGCAGCACAAGUCUGGAGUGAAAUGCCGGGGCUUAACCCCGGAACUGCUUUGGAAACUGUGCAGCUAGAGUGCAGGAGAGGGAAGUAGAAUUCCUGGUGUAGCGGUGAAAUGCGUAGAUAUUAGGAGGAACACCAGUGGCGAAGGCGGCUUACUGGACUGUAACUGACGUUGAGGCUCGAAAGCGUGGGGAGCAAACAGGAUUAGAUACCCGUGUAGUC
rnacentral:rRNA from 1 species